ACAGAUGAGGAAACUGAGGAAAACAGGCUUAAGCAACUUGCCCAGGAUCACAUAGCUGAUCAACAUAGUUGUUCCCAGGAUCUUGAAACUUGGGCCUCUUCUUUGCUGCUUUAGUGGUGCAGGUCCUACUACUUUUCUGGAAUCCUUCAGUGCAAACUAGCAGAAAGCACUGCUCCCUAGAAGACCCAAGAGUUCGAUCUAAGACUACCUGGAAGCCAGGAUUCCAGGUGGGAUGGUGCUGUCAGCCAGCCCAGAAGGGAAACCCUGAGAAGCCAGAGUACCUGAUACUUGAAGCCAAAUGAGGAGUCUUAGACUUGGAACAGGCACUAUGUUCAAUAAGAAUUGAAUUAAACAAUGCAUCUAAUCUUCUUCCCUUCCCAAAACACUUUGGUGGUUUGGCUCAGGGAUGAUUUUUGCUUCCCACACAUUGUGGAAUAUAA